AAAAUUAAAUUGCAAUAUCCAUAAUUACCAACAAAGCCUUUAAGGAAUAACAAUCUCCUGAAAGUUUACCAAAAAAAGCAGGCUUAAAACCUGAACAGAAGUUACAGUUGCCCAAGAUUGAAAAUGAUAAUAAAGCGGAAAAUGACAAUGAGAAUGAGACUAUACAAGCUUCAAAACUUCAAUCUCUUAUCAAUGAAAUAAUUGAUCAGGAC
rnacentral:lncRNA from 1 species